rnacentral:rRNA from 1 species
GUGGGGAAUCUUCCGCAAUGGACGAAAGUCUGACGGAGCGACGCCGCGUGAGUGAAGAAGGCCUUCGGGUCGUAAAGCUCUGUCAUCAGGGACGAACGGCCGGUGGAGUGGAAAGCCACCGGAUUGACGGUACCUGAGAAGGAAGCCACGGCUAACUACGUGCCAGCAGCCGCGGUAAUACGUAGGUGGCAAGCGUUGUCCGGAAUUAUUGGGCGUAAAGCGCGCGCAGGUGGGAUCUUAAGUCCAUUUUGAAAGUUCGGAGCUCAACUCCGUGAUGGGAUGGAAACUGGGAUUCUUGAGUACCGGAGAGGAAAGCGGAAUUCCCCGUGUAGCGGUGAAAUGCGUAGAUAUGGGGAGGAACACCAGUGGCGAAGGCGGCUUUCUGGACUGUAACUGACACUGAGGCACGAAAGCGUGGGGAGCAAACAGGAUUAGAUACCCGGGUAGUCC